ensembl:lncRNA DHCR24-DT DHCR24 divergent transcript
GCAGUUGGGACUCAGGGCCCCAGGCCCUCGGGGCUGCGGGGCCGCCUCUUCCAAACGCGCCUUAAGCGGUUUUGCAGUGGCUUUCCGCCGGAGGGCUGGGAGGCGCCCCGGCCCUGAGUCAGUCACCCUUUGGCCGGACAGGCGGUUCCCGGGCGCGGAGGAUGGAAACCUGGCGGUAACCUCUGCAGGUCGUGCCACUCGGUGUGCGCAAGGUCUCCAGAGGCAUCUUUUCAUUUUUAGGGGGCACUUUCCACGAAUUCAUUUGAGCUACACAGCAGUCCUGGGCAGUGGGGAGUGGUGAGCUCCAUUGUGUACACUUGGAAGCAGCCCAGAAAGUUCACUGAGGCAGAUGGGAGGCCCGGAGGAGAAAGAAUGAAGGAAGGCAUUUCAGCCCGAGUAAACUCCCCAGGCCCGCUCUGUGCCAGGCAGUGUUGCAAGCCUCGGCUUCUAGCACGGUGCUUUGUGCACAGUAAACACUCCAGCGGCUGUUGACCAAUGAAUGAAUGAAGAUUGUAGGCUCAAAUAUUCAAGUUAUCAAAGUGCAAAGAAUGAGAGGUUGUUUGCACUGGACUUCAAAAAUAAAUAGCCUGGACCUGUACUGUCUUACACAACAGCUAUGAGCUACUGGUAUGUGGCUAGUCCAAACUGAAAUGCCCUUUAAGAGUAAAACACACACUGGAUUUCAAAGACUUAGUACAAAGAAAAAAUGCAAAAUAGCUCAUUAGUAAUUUUUAUGUUAAUGACAUGUUGAAAUAACAUUUUGAUAUAUUAAGUAAAAUAUAGUAUUAGAAUUAA